GUUAGUUAAUUCGGAUUCGGCAAAAAUUCGGUACGGAUAUAAUGCGUAUAAAAUUUGUUUUCUAAUUUUUAAAUUCGUUGAAAAAUUUGGCUUAAAAAACGGAUUUGGUAUAAAAUAUAAAAUAUAAGAUAUAAAAUAUAAAAUAAUUUAUAUUUAAAAAUAAAAUUAUAAGUUUUUUAUUUAUAUUUUCAAUAAUUCAGCACUAAUUCGCGAAUAAUUUGCGAAUAAUUCGGCUGGCCCAAAAAUUUUCGAAUAAUUUUUUUUUCUUUCAAAAAAAUUUGUAAACAGACCGCUUAAUUCGAAUUUUCAAUAAUUCGUGAAUAAUUCGUAAAUAAUUCGCGAAUUUACUAACCAGACACAUAUCCUAUACAAAUGGGUAAAUCAUACGAAAAUUCUC
rnacentral:lncRNA from 1 species